rnacentral:lncRNA from 1 species
UUAAUUCCUCAUUCUUCUUCUACAAGUCUUUAUUCUCUCCUCCUCUUUAAAAAUAUUUCUCCAUAUUAUUAAGGCUUUUUAAGGCUUUGGAAUUUCAAUAAAGAAUCACGUUUUCAGCAAUUUUGUUUUCCACGUUCAUCUUCAAAAGGUGAGAUGCUCAGUGCUAUUAGUGGUUUGUCCACAUCUUUUCAAAUACGUUGUUAUGUAUGGAUUUAAUUACUUCAAUUCAGAGCUCCUUUGGGAGAAAUCAUGAUACAGUUUAAGGCACAAUUUAGCCUUCACGUUAUUUGCAGCGCUUGCUUGAAUUAUCAUUUGUCAUGGUGUGAUAAUUCUCAUGUUAUGUGGUAAGAGAAUUUAUGCAUAAUUUCACGUUUGAUUUGAAUGUGGAG